rnacentral:rRNA from 1 species
ACGGGAGUAGAAAUACUCCAGUGGCGGACGGGUGAGUAACGCGUGAGAAUCUACCUUCUGGUCGGGGACAACCACUGGAAACGGUGGCUAAUACCGGAUGAGCCGAAGGGUAAAAGAUUAAUUGCCAGAAGAGGAGCUCGCGUCUGAUUAGCUAGUUGGUGGGAUAAAGGCUCACCAAGGCAUCGAUCAGUAGCUGGUCUGAGAGGACGAUCAGCCACACUGGGACUGAGACACGGCCCAGACUCCUACGGGAGGCAGCAGUGGGGAAUUUUCCGCAAUGGGCGAAAGCCUGACGGAGCAAGACCGCGUGAGGGAAGAAGGCUCUUGGGUCGUAAACCUCUUUUGUUAGGGAAGAACACAAUGACGGUACCUAACGAAUCAGCCUCGGCUAACUCCGUGCCAGCAGCCGCGGUAAUACGGAGGAGGCAAGCGUUAUCCGGAAUUAUUGGGCGUAAAGCGUCCGCAGGUGGCUAUUCAAGUCUGCGGUCAAAGACUGGGGCUUAACCCUGGAAAGGCCGUGGAAACUGAAGAGCUAGAGUGCAGUAGGGGUAGAGGGAAUUCCCGGUGUAGCGGUGAAAUGCGUAGAGCUCGGGAAGAACAUCGGUGGCGAAAGCGCUCUGCCGGACUGCAACUGACACUCAGGGACGAAAGCUAGGGGAGCGAAUGGGAUUAGAUACCCCAGUAGUCCUAGC